GUGGGGAAUCUUAGACAAUGGGGGAAACCCUGAUCUAGCCAUGCCGCGUGAUCGAUGAAGGCCUUAGGGUUGUAAAGAUCUUUCAGGUGGGAAGAUAAUGACUGUACCACCAGAAGAAGCCCCGGCUAACUCCGUGCCAGCAGCCGCGGUAAUACGGAGGGGGCUAGCGUUGUUCGGAAUUACUGGGCGUAAAGCGCACGUAGGCGGACUGGAAAGUCAGGGGUGAAAUCCCGGGGCUCAACCCCGGAACUGCCUUUGAAACUCCCAGUCUUGAGUUCGAGAGAGGUGAGUGGAAUUCCGAGUGUAGAGGUGAAAUUCGUAGAUAUUCGGAGGAACACCAGUGGCGAAGGCGGCUCACUGGCUCGAUACUGACGCUGAGGUGCGAAAGCGUGGGGAGCAAACAGGAUUAGAAACCCUAGUAGUCC
rnacentral:rRNA from 1 species